rnacentral:rRNA from 1 species
AACAUCGCCUCUUGAUUAAAUAUAAGAGGUCCAGCCUGCCCAGUGACAAAAUUUAACGGCCGCGGUACCCUGACCGUGCGAAGGUAGCAUAAUCACUUGUUCUUUAAAUAGGGACUAGUAUCAACGGCAUCACGAGGGUUUUACUGUCUCCUUUUUCCAAUCAGUGAAACUGAUCUUCCCGUGAAGAAGCGGGAAUAAACCUAUAAGACGAGAAGACCCCAUGGAGCUUUAAAUUUCACAGCAACUCAGUGACAUAUUUCCUUAUAACUCAAAGAGUUAUGCAUGCCAAUUUUAGGUUGGGGUGACCGCGGAGUAUAAAAUAACCUCCACAUCGAAAAGAACUAAAUCUUUAUUUAAGAGUCACAACUCUAAAAAUUAGUACACUAACGAACAAUGACCCGAUAAUCGAUCAACGGACCAAGUUACCCUGGGGAUAACAGCGCAAUCUACUUCAAGAGCCCAUAUCGACAAGUAGGCUUACGACCUCGAUGUUGGAUCAGGGUAUCCCAGUGGUGCAGCCGCUACUAAUGGUUCGUUUGUUCAACGAUUAAAACCCUACGUGAU